GACGAACGCUGGCGGCGUGCCUAAUACAUGCAAGUCGAGCGAGCUUGCCUAGAUGAAUUUGGUGCUUGCACCAAAUGAAACUAGAUACAAGCGAGCGGCGGACGGGUGAGUAACACGUGGGUAACCUGCCCAAGAGACUGGGAUAACACCUGGAAACAGAUGCUAAUACCGGAUAACAACACUGGACGCAUGUCUAGAGUUUAAAAGAUGGUUCUGCUAUCACUCUUGGAUGGACCUGCGGUGCAUUAGCUAGUUGGUAAGGUAACGGCUUACCAAGGCAAUGAUGCAUAGCCGAGUUGAGAGACUGAUCGGCCACAUUGGGACUGAGACACGGCCCAAACUCCUACGGGAGGCAGCAGUAGGGAAUCUUCCACAAUGGACGCAAGUCUGAUGGAGCAACGCCGCGUGAGUGAAGAAGGGUUUCGGCUCGUAAAGCUCUGUUGGUAGUGAAGAAAGAUAGAGGUAGUAACUGGCCUUUAUUUGACGGUAAUUACUUAGAAAGUCACGGCUAACUACGUGCCAGCAGCCGCGGUAAUA
rnacentral:rRNA from 1 species